UACGUAGGGGGCAAGCGUUGUCCGGAUUUAUUGGGCGUAAAGAGCGUGUAGGCGGUUUGGUAGGUCCGUUGUGAAAACUCGAGGCUCAACCUCGAGACGCCGAUGGAAACCAUCAGACUAGAGUCCGGAAGAGGAGAGUGGAAUUCCUGGUGUAGCGGUGAAAUGCGCAGAUAUCUGGAGGAACACCGGUGGCGAAGGCGGCAUCCUGGACCGAUACUGACGCUGAUGAGCGAAAGCCAGGGGAGCAAACGGG
rnacentral:rRNA from 1 species